UCGAUGUUGGAUUAAGAUA
rnacentral:sRNA from 1 species